rnacentral:rRNA from 1 species
CCUACGGGAGGCUGCAGUGAGGAAUAUUGGUCAAUGGGCGAGAGCCUGAACCAGCCAAGUCGCGUGAGGGAGUACUGCCCUAUGGGUUGUAAACCUCUUUUGUCGGGGAGCAAAAGCCGGACGUGUCCGGCUGUGAGAGUACCCGAAGAAAAAGCAUCGGCUAACUCCGUGCCAGCAGCCGCGGUAAUACGGAGGAUGCGAGCGUUAUCCGGAUUUAUUGGGUUUAAAGGGUGCGCAGGCGGAUUUUUAAGUCAGCGGUCAAAUCGUGGGGCUCAACCCCGUCCAGCCGUUGAAACUGGGGAGCUAGAGUGUGGGAGAGGUAUGCGGAAUGCGUGGUGUGGCGGUGAAAUGCAUAGAUAUCACGCAGAACCCCGAUUGCGAAGGCAGCAUACCGGUGCACAACUGACGCUCAGGCACGAAAGCGUGGGUAUCGAACAGGAUUAGAUACCCGAGUAGUC